UACGUAGGUGGCAAGCGAUACUCGGAAUCACUAGGCGUAAAGCGCAGGUAGGCGGUUUGGUAAGUCUCUUGUGAAAGCUCCCGGCUUAACUGGGAGAGGUCAAGGGAAACUACUAGGCUAGAGUGCGGUAGAGGUAGCUGGAAUUCCCGGUGUAGCGGUGAAAUGCGUAGAUAUCGGGAGGAAUACCUAUGGCGAAAGCAGGCUACUGGACCGUCACUGACUCUGAUCUGCGAAAGCUAGGGGAGCAAACAGG
rnacentral:rRNA from 1 species